GACGCUGGCGGUAGGCUUAACACAUGCAAGUCGUGCGAGAAAGUACCUUCGGGUGCGAGUAGAGCGGCGGACGGGUGAGUAACGCGUAGGAAUCUACCUAGUAGAAGGGGAUAGCCCGGGGAAACUCGGAUUAAUACCGUAUACCUCCUUAGGGAGAAAGAGGGCUUAGCUUUGAUGCUCUCGCUAUUAGAUGAGCCUGCGUAAGAUUAGCUUGUUGGUGAGGUAAAGGCUCACCAAGGCGACGAUCUUUAGCUGGUCUGAGAGGACGAUCAGCCACAUUGGGACUGAGACACGGCCCAGACUCCUACGGGAGGCAGCAGUGGGGAAUAUUGGACAAUGGGCGCAAGCCUGAUCCAGCCAUACCGCGUGUGUGAAGAAGGCUUUCGGGUUGUAAAGCACUUUAAGUAAGGAGGAAAAGAUUGUAGUUAAUACCUGCAAUCCGUGACGUUACUUACAGAAUAAGGACCGGCUAAUUCCGUGCCAGCAGCCGCGGUAAUACGGAAGGUCCAAGCGUUAAUCGGAAUUACUGGGCGUAAAGCGCGCGUAGGUGGUUUUUUAAGUUGGAUGUGAAAGCCCUGGGCUCAACCUAGGAACUGCAUCCAAAACUAGAUGACUAGAGUACGAAAGAGGGAAGUAGAAUUCACAGUGUAGCGGUGGAAUGCGUAGAUAUUGUGAAGAAUACCAAUGGCGAAGGCAGCUUCCUGGUUCUGUACUGACACUGAGGUGCGAAAGCGUGGGUAGCGAACAGGAUUAGAUACCCUGGUAGUCCACGCCGUAAACGAUGACAACUAGCUGUUGGGAGACAAGAUCUCUCAGUGGCGCAGCUAACGCUUUAAGUUGUCCGCCUGGGGAGUACGGCC
rnacentral:rRNA from 1 species